rnacentral:pre_miRNA from 1 species
NCGUCCGUCUUAUUUGAAAAUUUUUUAUGAUUAGUAUUUUUAUUGCUAUUAGAUGAUAAAACAUGAAUAGUACUUUAUGUGUGACUAAAUGUUUUUAAUUUUUUCACAAAUUUUUUAAAUAAGACGGACGG